rnacentral:tRNA from 1 species
GGAAUUGUAGCUCAGUGGUAGAGCUUACCUCAAACGUAUGAGGCCCUGGGUUCAAUCCUCAGCACCA